UUGAUGGUCUCUUUUACAUGGAUAACCAUGGUAAUUCUAUGGCUAAUACAUGCGCACAGGCCUCCUUCUUUGGAGGGGCCGUGUUUAUUAGAUACAAAACCAACCCACUUUGUGGAGCCUUGGUGAUUCAUAGUAACCGAACGGAUCGCAUUUGGCUUUAGCCGGCGAUAGAUCAUUCAAGUUUCUGACCUAUCAGCUUUCGACGGUAGGGUAUUGGCCUACCGUGGCAUUGACGGGUAACGGGGAAUUAGGGUUCGAUUCCGGAGAGGGAGCCUGAGAAACGGGUACCACA
rnacentral:rRNA from 1 species